rnacentral:rRNA from 1 species
AACGAACGCUGGCGGCAUGCCUAACACAUGCAAGUCGAACGCCCUGGUUCGCCAGGGAGUGGCGCACGGGUGAGUAACGCGUGGGAACCUGCCCGGCAGUACGGGACAACCGCGGGAAACUGCGGCUAAUACCGUAUACGGCCUGAGGGCGAAAGAAUUUCGCUGUCGGAGGGGCCCGCGUCGGAUUAGGUAGUUGGUGG